UUGAUUUGUUACUUUCGCAUCGUUCGGUGCAUUCUGGGGGAUGUUUUGGCUUUUGGUGGCUUACUUGGCCUUUUGGCUUGGUUUGUUGCUAUUGGUCGGGCGGCUCUUGGGAAUGUCGACCGUGGAGGUGCAUGAGUGGUGUUUGGUUUUUUACGUGUGGAUGGCUGUUUGCUUGCGCAACAACGUUCAUGCUGCAUACCUCUUCAGUUUUGUGGCAAGGCUUGGUUUGGCUUGUGCAUAUUGUGGGUUUCCUGUGUUGCAUACCUAGUUGAAGGAAAAGUGUGGGUUUUACGAUUUUCAUUUUCGUCUCGUGUCGUUCUUUCGGCAUGGGAUGAGCAAUGAAGCGAUCUUUAUGAUCCAUCGUGCUGUUGUGUUUGCAACAAUGAUGUGGCCUAUGAAGCAUCGUUUGGUCUCUUGUAUACGGAAGCCCAUUUGGGCUUGGGUCUUUAUAAGAUCUUCGUUCUGCCCUUGUUAAGUGUUCUCGCUUCUCCUAGACGAUUGCCUGCCAUGUUACGGCUUGUCCU
rnacentral:misc_RNA from 1 species